GCUCCAAUUACUCCCUCAUUUUCAGGUGACUCAGAGAACUUCAAGUGACCAGCACAGUGGUACAGCCCCACUUGUCGUUAAUGGCCAGCCAUAAAAGAACCCAAGUUUCUCAGCUCAUAGGCCAGGUUCUUCAGUGGUUGUCUAGUUUAAGGCUGGUCAUUAGCAAUAUUAUGGACGACCUAAGUUCCUCGAACUUAUGCAGUUUAUAGCUUUUUAAGAAUUUAAGAAGUGGAGAAGGGGAAGCAUGAGAAACUUAAAGGAUGCAAAUUGAGCAUCUCUUAAAAUAUAAUGGAUUUGUGUAGGUGAAACAGAUUUGUUGCCAAAAGUUAAUUUGUGCACAAGUUAUCAGGAACACACUUGAUAAAAUUAGAUGCUGAUUAAUUGGAGAUACAUUGUAUCCAGAGAUACACAAGAAUCCAGAGGAAAUAAACAGAGAAGGAGAGGAAGAGGGAAGGAAUUCAUGGAGGGCUAAAAAUUUUGGAGAGGACAAAGUUUUAAGGAGUCUCAAUACCAAAUCCUCAUCUUGGCUCUGCCUUCAAGUUACUGUUUCUUUGGAUGGAGUCUUGCUCUGCUGCCUAGGCUGGUGUGGAAUGGC
rnacentral:lncRNA from 1 species